rnacentral:sRNA from 1 species
UCAAAAAAACACAAAAA